rnacentral:rRNA from 1 species
GACGAACGCUGGCGGCGUGCCUAAUACAUGCAAGUAGAACGCUGAAGGAGGGGCUUGCUCUUCUGGAUGAGUUGCGAACGGGUGAGUAACGCGUAGGUAACCUGCCUGGUAGCGGGGGAUAACUAUUGGAAACGAUAGCUAAUACCGCAUAAGAGUAGAUGUUGCAUGACAUUUACUUAAAAGGUGCAAUUGCAUCACUACCAGAUGGACCUGCGUUGUAUUAGCUAGUUGGUGGGGUAACGGCUUACCAAGGCGACGAUACAUAGCCGACCUGAGAGGGUGAUCGGCCACACUGGGACUGAGACACGGCCCAGACUCCUACGGGAGGCAGCAGUAGGGAAUCUUCGGCAAUGGACGGAAGUCUGACCGAGCAACGCCGCGUGAGUGAAGAAGGUUUUCGGAUCGUAAAGCUCUGUUGUAAGAGAAGAACGAGUGUGAGAGUGGAAAGUUCACACUGUGACGGUAUCUUACCAGAAAGGGACGGCUAACUACGUG